rnacentral:rRNA from 1 species
UACGUAGGGGGCAAGCGUUGUCCGGAAUUACUGGGCGUAAAGCGCGCGUAGGCGGACCUGCAAGUCGGGGGUGAAAGCCCGAGGCUCAACCUCGGAACUGCCUUCGAUACUGCGGGUCUCGAGUCCGGGAGAGGUGAGUGGAAUUCCUAGUGUAGAGGUGAAAUUCGUAGAUAUUAGGAAGAACACCAGUGGCGAAGGCGGCUCACUGGCCCGGUACUGACGCUGAGGAGGCGAAAAGCGUGGGGAGCAAACAGGAU